UACGGGGGAUGCGAGCGUUAUCCGGAUUUAUUGGGUUUAAAGGGCGCGUAGGCGGGACGCCAAGUCAGCGGUAAAAGACUGCAGCUAAACUGUAGCACGCCGUUGAAACUGGCGCCCUCGAGGGGGGUAGGGGCGUGCGGAACUGUGGGUGGAGCGGUGAAAUGCGUUGAGAUCCACAGGAACUCCGGUGGCGAAGGCGGCACGCUGGACCCCUUCUGACGCUGAGGCGCGAAAGCCAGGGUAGCGAACGGG
rnacentral:rRNA from 1 species